AUACAUGCAGUCGAACGGUUGUAGCAGUACAGCAGUGGCAGACGGGUGAGUAACACGUGGGAACCUACCUAGGGGUACGGAAUAACUCAGGGAAACUUGUGCUAAUACCGUAUACGACCUUCGGGUGAAAGAUUUAUCGCCCCUAGAUGGGCCCGCGUUGGAUUAGCUAGUUGGUGGGGUAAAAGCCUACCAAGGCGACGAUCCAUAGCUGGUCUGAGAGGAUGAUCAGCCACACUGGGACUGAGACACGGCCCAGACUCCUACGGGAGGCAGCAGUAGGGAAUCUUGGACAAUGGGCGAAAGCCUGAUCCAGCCAUGCCGCGUGAGUGAUGAAGGCCUUAGGGUUGUAAAGCUCUUUCGCCAGGGAAGAUAAUGACGGUACCUGGAUAAGAAGCCCCGGCAAACUUCGUGCCAGCAGCCGCGGUAAUACGAAGGGGGCUAGCGUUGUUCGGAAUUACUGGGCGUAAAGCGCACGUAGGCGGUUUUCCAAGUUGGAGGUGAAAUCCCUGGGCUCAACCCGGGAACUGCCUCCAAAACUGGAUGACUCGAGUCCGAGAGAGGUGAGUGGAAUUUCCAGUGUAGAGGUGAAAUUCGUAGAUAUUGGAAAGAACACCAGUGGCGAAGGCGGCUCACUGGCUCGGUACUGACGC
rnacentral:rRNA from 1 species